AGCUGAAUCUGAAUGGGCAGGAAACUGAGUGAAGUACUUCACACUGCAUGCUAAGGAGAAUAAAUGCCAAUCCCAUUCAAAUCUUUGCAGUUUUGACAGUUUUUAUGCACAAACUACGCAUUCAGAAUGUCUUUGAAAAUCCAGCCCUGUGACUCUGAGUGUAAAAGUAAGAAAAGUCAGUCAUCUCUCUGUCAGGAUGAAGUGUCAAAAUCUGAUAAGCAGAAACCCGACAAUGCAAGAUACAGUCAGGCCUGGAGGGAUCGUUUGAAAAAAGACCCUGUAAAAUUUGCUGAAUUCAAAGCUUUUGAAGCUGCAAGAGCAAGAGAGUAUAGAAGAAAGAGGACUGCUACUGCUAUAGAAAUUGAUAAGGAUAAUAAUUGUGAGCGACAGAGAAGAUUCAGAACCAAAAAGAAGUUACAGCAGUGUAAAGCUGAUGAUAACCCGCCACCUAAAAAAACAAAAGUCUUAACAGAAGAAGAGAGGAUGAAGAAACGAGAGUAUGAUAGGAUAAAGAAAAGAGAAGAGAGAGAGAGGAUGGGAGCAGAGAAGAAAAGACAAAUUCGUGAAAGAGAUGCGUCACGAAAGAGGGAAAAAAGAAACAAGGCAAAAAAUCUUCCUGACACUCCACAUACAAAUGUUGCCUCUAAAUCGUACAGCUGGACCUAAAUCUGCAAAACGGAUGGCACUGUUACAGAUGAGGGGAAAAAAUCCGGCUGAUGCAGAAAAGUUGGACAUUGUAACAGACUUCAUCCAUUGCUGUACUCAUAAACAAGCAACUUUGAAAGCUAGAGGUCUGAAAAAACUUGACGGUGAAUAGAUUUUGAUGACCCACUUCAAAAAGAACUUCAAUCCACAAUUGAAGCUCUAUAGAAGGAUACUGCAUCCUUGGAGAAGCGGAGCCUGAUUGUCACUAGUUUGCUGGUUGCCACAAAGUACAGAAUGCAACAAAUUUUAGCAAAGACGCUUUAAUCUUCAUCCAGUAUAUCUCACUAAAUUAUCAAAGUCCUCAUCCAGUGAAAGUUUACAUAAAAAAACAAAGGUCUGAUGUCACUUACAUGGAUGUUGCAAACAAUAGUUGCUUUCUAUCGUAAUCACAAGAACUUCCUUACAUGAGGACAGUAAAGAAACAGCAACAAAGAUUCCUCAUGAAGAUCUCUCUACAGAAGGCCUAUGAAGUCUGGAAGCUGGAAAAUCCAGAAAAUAAAUGUUGCAUCCUUUCCUGUUUUCUCAUA